UACGGGGGGGGCAAGCGUUGUUCGGAAUUACUGGGCGUAAAGGGCGCGUAGGCGGUUCGCUAAGUUGGAUGUGAAAACUCUGGGCUUAACCCAGAGCCUGCAUCCAGAACUGGCAAACUUGAGUACUGGAGGGGAAAGCGGAAUUCCUGGUGUAGCGGUGAAAUGCGUAGAUAUCAGGAAGAACACCCGUGGCGAAGGCGGCUCUCUGGGACGGUACUGACGCUGAGACGCGAAAGCGUGGGGAGCGAACAGG
rnacentral:rRNA from 1 species